rnacentral:rRNA from 1 species
GAUGAACGCUAGCGGCAGGCUUAACACAUGCAAGUCGAGGGGCAGCAUGACGGAACCUUCGGGUUUUGUUGAUGGCGACCGGCGCAAGGGUGCGUAACGCGUGAGCAACUUGCCCGUUUCAGGGGGAUAACCGGUGGAAACGCCGACUAAUACCCCAUAGCAUCAUAUUCAGGCAUCUUUAUAUGAUUAAAGAAUUUCGGAAACGGAUAGGCUCGCGUGACAUUAGCUAGAUGGCGGGGUAACGGCCCACCAUGGCGACGAUGUCUAGGGGUUCUGAGAGGAAGGUCCCCCANACUGGAACUGAGACACGGUCCAGACUCCUACGGGAGCAGCAGUGAGGAAUAUUGGUCAAUGGCCGGGAGGCUGAACCAGCCAUGCCGCGUGAAGGUCACGGCCCUAUGGGUCUUAAACUUCUUUUGUAAAGGGAGCAAUAAGGAUCACGUGUGGUCCGAUGAGAGUACCUUACGAAUAAGCAUCGGCUAACUCCGUGCCAGCAGCCGACGG